rnacentral:rRNA from 1 species
GAGUUUGAUCAUGGCUCAGAUUGAACGCUGGCGGCAUGCCUUACACAUGCAAGUCGAACGGCAGCACGGGAGCUUGCUCCUGGUGGCGAGUGGCGAACGGGUGAGUAAUGCAUCGGAACGUAUCCUGGAGUGGGGGAUAACGUAGCGAAAGUUACGCUAAUACCGCAUAUUCUGUGAGCAGGAAAGCGGGGGACCUUCGGGCCUCGCGCUCUUGGAGCGGCCGAUGUCGGAUUAGCUAGUUGGUGAGGUAAAGGCUCACCAAGGCGACGAUCCGUAGCAGGUCUGAGAGGAUGAUCUGCCACACUGGAACUGAGACACGGUCCAGACUCCGUACGGAGGCAGCAGUGGGAAUUUGGACAAGUGGGGGCCAACCCGU